rnacentral:lncRNA from 1 species
UUUUUUUUUUUUUUUUUUUUUUUUUUGUCUUUUGGCCAUUUCUUGGGCCACUCACACGGCAUAUGGAGGUUCCCAGACUAGGGGUCCAAUCGGAGCUGUAGCCACCGGCCCACCCCAGAGCCACAGCAACGCGGGAUCCGAGCCGCGUCUGCAACCUACACCACAGCUCACGGCAACGCCGGAUCUUUUAACCCACUGAGCAAGGCCAGGGAUCGAACCCGCAACCUCAUGGUUCCUAGUCGGAUUCACUAACCACUGAGCCACAACGGGAACUCCUAAAAAGUUAAAUUUUAAGUUAAUUUUAUAACUUAGAUUUCAGGCUUUGCAUUCUCCUAAAAAACUAUCCCAUGAUUAAAGAAGUUAGACUGAAAGUUUGUUUUUGUGAUGGUGCUUGUUAACAUUAGCCUGUAUGUGAAGAAGUCUGAAUGUGGCUUAGGUGCAGGAAUGAUCAUGUCCAUUUAACCUCCAGUCAAAAAUAAAGUACAUCUAACAUAUGACACAAAUGAACCUAUCUAUAGAAAAGGAACAAACUCAGGGACAUGAAGAACAGGCUUGUUGUUGCCAACAGGGAGGGGGAGGGAGUGGGAUGGACUGGGAGUUUGGGGUUAGCAGAUGCAAACUAUUGCAUUUGGAAUGGAUAAGCAAUAAGAUCCUGCUGUAUAGCACAGGGAACUAUAUCAAAUCAUUUGUAAUGGAACAUGAUGGAAAAUAAUGUGAGAAAAAGAAUGUAUAUAUAUGUUAACUGGGUCAUUUUGUUGUAUAGCAGAAAUUGCUAGAACAUUGUAAAUCAUAAUAAAAAUUUUUUUAAAAACUGAAGCACAUGCAUGCACAAACUCACAAACACACACAGACAGACAUCCAAAGAAAUAAAUGGAAACCACAUAUAUGAGGAAAUCUUUAUCUUUAUUCUGUUUUUGUUCAAUUGUUUGUUUGUUUGUUUUGGCUGUGCCUGCAGCAUGCAAAUGUUCUGGGGCCCAGGAUUGAAUGCACACCAUAGAAGUGACCCAAGCCACAGCAGUGACAACACCAGAUCCUUAACCAGUUGAGCCACCAGGGAAUUCCUCUUUCUCUAUUGUUUAACAUUAAUUAAAAAUGCCAUUUACCUAUAUAGCUGAUAUCAUAUAAUAAUUAUACUGGGAAUAUAACCUUUAAAAAUUGUGAAUCUCUGUAUUCUACCCCUGAUACAUAUAGUAGUGUACAUCAACUAGGUUCAAAUUAAAAAAUGGCCGUUUUCAUCUUCAGUUCUUACCUAUUAUAAGAUCAAUUUCAGAAGACUCAAACUGGACUUGGAGAUACCCAGAAAAUUAUUUUUCAAGAAUAUGUACACACUCAGUUGACAGGGAAAUAGUAAGACCAUCAAGAGCUCCCAAGCCAGGUCCCCACGUCUCCUAAAAAAUACAUCCCCCACUUCUGUCCUCCCAGGACAUCUAUAUUCUUGCUCAGCAAAUCUCUCUCUUCUUUAAAGCUCUACUGGAAUAGUUCUGGCUAGUAAGAAAAAAGGGAGGGGGUGGUUUUGAUCUUUCCAUGACAUUGAUUCAAGCAAUUCAGCAAUUGUUGCAGGCCGGAUGCCCCCCAUUUUUUUAACUUCAUCAGACCAAAAUCGUUAUAAACCGUCCUCCCGUGAAAGAAUAUUCCGUUUUAAUCAUGAUUUCUCUUAAGAAAAAGAAACAUAAACAUGUCAACAUGACACUCGAAGAUCACAAUAUGUCUUCCUAAUACAAUAAUAGCCAUCGGUUUAUGAACCAUUUGGUGAAACAGCCAAAGGAGAAAUUAGAUCAUUUGGCUCUGGUCAUAGAAUGUAAUAGAUCUACCAUCAGUUAAGAUAGCUGGGAAGAGGCCACAAUGAUUAAUGAAAGAGCCCCAUGGUAUAAAAACUGCUUAAUGGAACAGCACAAUAUGGCAUGCAAAGCAAACUAAAACAACCAUAAAUAUUUUAGGCAUCUUCCUAAGAUUUAAGAAUAUUCAUUCCACAUAUAAAUCCUUCAUGUAAUAUCAGCAAAAGCCCAUAGUCGAGAGGUCUGGCAGCCUGAACACAACACAGUAGAUGAGGGCUGUGUACCUUCUCCUUUCUGUCUGCAUUUUUCCUGUGAUGAUAAAACCAAAUCAGUUGGGUAACUGUUUCCAAAAUGAGGCAAAAUCCCGAGUGCCAGGGCUUUUUAAAAGCUUUCUUAGCACUUACUGCUCCAAGAAAUCUGAUCUGCAAAGCUUUAUCACAUGGUGCUAGGCUGGGGCCAGAGGAUCCCCUUGGCAGUUUUAUCUCCCAUCUCAGGUUUUGUUUACCCAUGCUAACCCAUUCACAGUGUAGUUUGGGGCCUGGAUGCUUCUUAGAAAUGCAAAUGUCCAGGCUCCAGCCCAGACUUACUCAAUCAGUAGCUAUAUUUCCCCAAAGUUUGCAUGUGAUUUGCAGGCCCAUUAAAGCUUGAGAAAGCCUGGACUACACCAGCAUCAUGCUGACCUCUCCCAUUACUGCUUCUAUCCCUGAACUCCAGACAGGUCCUAAGAGUGUAGUUAAAGAUGUCAUUAGUGAGAGAAUAGCUUUGCCAUUGAUGAGCUGUGUGAUCUUAGUAAUCUUUCUUACCCUCACUGACUCUCAGUCUGCUCAUUUGAAAUUAAGGGGAAAUAAUAGUACCGAUUUCAAGGUGCUGAUGAAAGAAUGAAAUGAGAUAACGUAUGCCAAAGCUCACCAUGAGAUGCCUGGCACAGAGUUGGUGCUCAAUCAAUGGUAAAAAGGUGGAGUAAUAAACAAGCACCAAUGGGACCAACUACAGGUUUGUUAUGGACUCUUUAUGAAAGUCUUGUUUCAAAAUCAUACUUUAUUCAAGGGGGUUAGUAAUGACUCAAAACACAGCAAUGGAGAAAGCAGAAAAAGAACAAGUUUGGAAGUUGGGAUAAGAGAUGAGAAAGCAUUGGUUCUUGAAGGAGGGACAGAACAAUAAUAAUAGUGCAAUUAUGGAUGAGUUAGCUUUUCCUGUUUGUCAAAUUAGCCUAAAAGUUAGCAGCUUAAAACAAACAUUUUUUUUGCCUUGGGGCAGGAAUUCGAGAUGAUCUUUACUGAGUGGUUCUGGCCUGGAUCUCCUAAGUCUCAUUCAAUAUAGUGCCGAAGGCAGUGGGCAUCUGUAGACUUGACUGGGACUAAAGAGUCUUUCCCAAAAUGGUUCACACCCAUGGUGCUAGAUACGCUGGUGCUAGCAGAAGACCUCACUUCCUCCCACUGGGGGUCUCUCCAUGGGCUGCUUAAGGGUCCUCAGGAUGUGGUGGUUGGCUUCCUUCAAGGAAAGUGAGCCAAGAGAGGACAAGGCGGAAGCCACCAGGCCUUACCUCAGAAAUCACACUCCAUUAGCUUUGCCAGACAGCCUUUGUAAGAAACAUCCAUAAUUGUGGCACUAACUGUGGCCAAGGGUGGCUCUAGCCCUUAAUUAAUCUUCCUCAGAGCCCUGGGCUCCUACUGAAAAUAAAAUAAGAUCUAAGUAUAAAUUUCUUCUUGCACCAAUAUAGCUUAAAAGCAAUCCCCCUUCAACCAAAUUGUUGUCCCUCACUCCCUAGUGUGUAGAGAUGUUGGGGCCUCCACAGAAUGUCUACUUUCAUCUGUAAAAGAUAGAGUCUCAGAAACCUAGAUCAUAAAGAAAGUCUCCAAGUAUUGGUUAAAUUUCCAGUUCAGCCUGAAACACACUUUUCCACCCCCAAGAUACUCUAUCAUUCAUUUGAAGUCUUACUGAUGAUUCCCUAGGUAUGGAUUAAACAUUCUUUCCUCUGCAAAGCCCAAGAUUAGAGAGGACCCUCAUCAGUAUUUCCCCCAAGCCCUCUCUAGUUCCUUUAUCAUAAUGCUAUUUACAUAUUUGAAAUAUUAUGUGCUCAUCUGUGUGUCACCUUUAAUCAACCAUAAAAUUAAGAUGGCAGAAACCACGUCCAAUCUUGUUCAAUGUGUAUUUACUGGAGAACGAUGCACUGCCUGGCACAUGGUAGAGCCUCAGUUAAAAACUUCUGAGUGGAUUUUCUUUAGCCAUUCUAUCAAUAAAUAUUAUUAAGAGCCUAUUGUAUGCUGGUCAGGGUGUCAGGGACAGCAGAUACAGCUGUGAACAAAAUCAAAUAAGUCUUCCCUCUAAGGGAGCUUUCAUUUUAAAGAGGUAAAGACAGUUUUAAAAAAAGGGAUAAAAUAAAAAACAAAAAACCCCCAAACCACUACCACCAUAACAGUAAUUUUAAAAACUAAAAAUCAAGAAAAUACAACAUGCUUAGGAACAAUAAAAUGUUUAGAAGAAAAACAGAGCAACGUGACAAAGAGUGAUUGUGAAGUGAGGGUUUUCUAUUUUAGAAAAGGGAAUUAUGGAAGGCUUCUCUGAGAAGAUGAUAGUUGAGCAAAGCUGUGAAUGAAAUGACACAAAGUCAUGAACAGCAAGAGAAAAACAGAGUCAGCUAUAAGGAAACUCCUAUAAGGUUAUCAGCUGAUUUCUCUAUAGAAAUUCAGCAGGUCAGAAGGGAAUGGCAUGAUACAUUCAAAGUCCUGAAAGGGAAAAACCUACAAACUAGGAUAUUAUACUGAGAAAGAUAAUCAAUUAAAGUAGAAGGAGAAAGAUUCUUUCAGAUGAGGAAAAAACUAAAGGAAUUUAGCAAUACUAACAUUACCCUGAAAGAAAUAUCAUAAGUUUGCCUCUAAAUAGAAAAGAAGAAUCUAUAGGAAGGUGAAAAACACAAUAGGAAAGGCAAAUAAAUAAAAGAAUUGACAAUCACUUAAGUCAGAACACAGAAUAAAAAACAAUCAAAAAUUAUUUGCAAAAGUGAUUAUAACUACAAUUAAUAAUUUAAUAAAAGGAAGAAAAAUCCCUUUAAAAAUCACAUCAAUAAAUAAAUAAAACACUUAGGAAUAAAUCUGACCAAAAGAGGUAAAAGAUUUGCAUGCUGAGAUCUAUAAAAUAUUGAUAAAGGAAACUGAAGAUGAUUCAAAAACACGGAAAUAUAUCCCAGGAUCUUGGACUGGAAGAAUAUUGUUAAAAUGACUAUAAUACCCAAAGCAAUCUGCAGAUUUAAUGUGAUCCCUACCAAAAUAUCCAUGACAUUUCUCACAGAACUAAAACAAAUAAUCCUAAAAUUUAAAUGGAACCACAAAAGACCCAGAAUUGCCAGAGAAAUCCUGAGGAAAAAGAACAAAGCUGGAGGUAUAACCCUCCCAGACUUCAGAUAAUACUACAAAGCUAUAGAAAUCAAAAGAUCAUGGUACUAGCAAAAAAAAAAAAAAAUAUAUAUAGGUCAAUAGAACAGAAUAGAGAGUCCAAAAAUAAACCCACACACCCACGAUCAAUUAAUCUAUGACAAAGAAGGUAAGAAUAUAUAGUGGAGAAAAGACAGUCUCUUCAAUGAAUGGUGUUGGGAAAGCCGGACAAUCAUAUGCAUACCAAUGAAAUUAAAAUAGACACUCACAUCGUAUACAAAAAUAAACUCAAAAUGGAUUAAAGACCAAAAUAUAAGACAAGGCAUCAUAAAACUCCUACAAGAGAACAUAAGCAAAACAUUCUCAGACUUCAAUCAUAGCAAUAUUUUCUUACAUCAGUCUCCCAAGGCAAGAGAAAUAAAAGUGAAAGUAAACAAAUGAGACCUAAUCAAACUUAAAAGCUUUUUGCACAGCAAACAAAACCAUCAACAAAAUGAAAAGACAACCUAUGAACUGGGAGAAAACAUUUGUAAAUGAUAUGACCAGCAAGAGGUUAAUAUCCAAACUAUACAAAUAGCACAUACAAUUCAACGUGGAAGAGACAAAAAAUGGGCAGAAGACCUAAACAGACAUUUUUCCACAGAAGACAUACCAAUAGUCAAUGGGUACAUGAAAAAAAAUGAUCACCAUCACUAAUUACUAGAGAAAUGCAAAUCGAAACCACAAUGAAGUAUCACCUCUCACCAGUCAGAAUAGCUAUUAUCAAAAAGCCUACAAAUAAUAAACACUGCACUGGAGAAAAUGUAUUGUUGGUGGGAAGAUAAAUUGAUAUAGCCACUAUUGAAAGAGUAUGGAGAUUCCUUAAAAAAAAUGAGAACAGAGCUACCAUAUGAUCCAGCAAACCAACUCCUGGGUGUACAGCUAGAAAAGACGGACAUCCUAAUUAAAAAAGAUACAUGCACCCCAAUGUUCACAGCAGCACUAUUUGCAAUAGCUGAGACAUGGAAACAACCCAUGCUUCCAUCAACAGACAACUGGCUUAAUAAGAUGUGUAUGUGUAUAUAUGUAAAUACAUGCACACACACAAAUACAUACAUGUAUACAUAUAUGUAAUAGAAUAUUACUCAGCCAUAGAAAGAAUGAAAUAUUGCCAUUUUCAGCAAUAUGGAUGCACCAAGAGAAUGUUAUUCUUAGUGAAGUCAGACCAAGAAAGACAAAUAUUAUGUAUCAUUUACAUGUGGAAUCUAAAAAAUUAUACAAAUGAAUCUAUAUACAAAACAGAAAUAGACUCACAGACAUGGAAUACAAACUUAUGGUUAACAAGGGGAAAAGAGGGGGCAGGGAAGAGGAGUAUGGGAUUGAUGGAUACAAACUCCUAUACACACAAAAAAAAUAUAA